CAGCAGGUACCUUCAGUGAGCUGCUCCCACACUGCAGGGCCCUGGAGGGACAAGCCCAUGGACUGGCCUCUGCCAAAGGAGUCCCGUACUUGUCCCUGCUGCAUGAGAACCCCUCAAAGACAUCUGUGAAAAAAGCACAGGCUUGUGCAGAGGUUUUCCAGCUGACAAAGAGGAGGGUCGUGCCCACCUGCUGACAGCAGCUCAUUCCCCAGCACGGCAGGCCAGAUGCCAAGGAGUAAGACAUAUUCAAAGAAUUGAAGUCUUUCAAUAUCUCAUUACAGAAAACAGCAGACAAGUUGGCAGAAGGCCAGGCAGGCUUCCAAUGAAAACACUCCCAUUAUAGCUUUGCUUAUGUUUCUAUGAACUUUCAUAAAAAACAACACCUUUAAGAAAUAUUUCAGUUUCUAUUAAUUGGCUUUUUUGAUAAAGAUCUGUUUUGUUUGAAAACUCCCCAGCUAUCCAGCCCUCUCCCACACCUCCCAAUCACCGCUUCACCUCCUGCAACCUGACAGGCUUCUGCUGCACUCUGCUCCUCAUGAGCAUCCACAGCUACUGCUCAGGUUAAAAUAUUAU